ACCCCAGUGGCCUAAUGGCUAAGGCACUGGCCUCCCAAGCCAGGGAUUGUGGGUUCGAGCCCUGUAUGGGGGA